UCUGAGUACCGUAGCUAACGCGUGAAGUGAUCCGCCUGGGGAGUACGGUCGCAAGAUUAAAACUCAAAGGAAUUGACGGGGACCCGCACAAGCGGUGGAUGAUGUGGAUUAAUUCGAUGCAACGCGAACAACCUUACCUACCCUUGACAUGUCCGGAAGGCCGCCGAGAGGUGGUUGUGCCCGAAAGGGAACCGGAACACAGGUGCUGCAUGGCUGUCGUCAGCUCGUGUCGUGAGAUGUUGGGUUAAGUCCCGCAACGAGCGCAACCCUUGUCCCUAGUUGCUACGCAAGGGCACUCUAGGGAGACUGCCGGUGACAAACCGGAGGAAGGUGGGGAUGACGUCAAGUCCUCAUGGCCCUUAUGGGUAGGGCUUCACACGUCAUACAAUGGUCGGUACAGAGGGUUGCCAAGCCGCGAGGUGGAGCCAAUCCCAGAAAGCCGAUCGUAGUCCGGAUUGCAGUCUGCAACUCGACUGCAUGAAGUCGGAAUCGCUAGUAAUCGCGGAUCAGCAUGCCGCGGUGAAUACGUUC
rnacentral:rRNA from 1 species